rfam:Gossypium hirsutum cultivar TM-1 unplaced genomic scaffold scaffold1277.1, whole genome shotgun sequence
AAUAGGACAAUGGUAAAUCAGAUUUUUCCUCCUGACUUUCAAUAUUUUUCUCCUAAAAAAAUUUAAAUUCAACUAAAAAUACUGAAAAUCAGGAGAAAAAUCUGAUUUGUCAUUAUCCUAUU